rnacentral:lncRNA from 1 species
AAUGUGUUAUUUAUAAUAAAUUUAUAGGUUUUUAUCACAAGAGAUUUUUUUUUUUUUUUUUUAUAAACAUACGUGUUUUUUUGUGUUAUCUACACACAUAUGUAUAUAUAUAUGUGCAACUUUUUAUUUCCUAUUUUAUUAGGUCAAAGCAGCUAACGAUUUAAUAUCAGAAAGGAGUGACACACCUUUACAACUAAGGCUAGCCACUGAAGCAACUAUGUGUAAUAACUUCAAAGCAAAACAAACCACUAUGCCUUGUAAAAUGGAGAAAGAAAUGAUUAUCAGGUUAAAUAAAAAUAAAUAUAAUGAACAAACUAAUGAUUGUAUUCAUAAUAUCUUAUCACAUAUAUAUACACGUGUACGUAUGUACAUGUGCCAGCUUUUUUUUUUUUUAUCAUAUAGAUACCAAAGUUGUACCAUUUUAAACAAUUACGAAAGAAUAAAAACUAAGCUAUACGAAAGUAAUGGGAUGUGCUAUUAUUUCUCAAAAACAAACUUUAACUUAUUUAAAGAAUUAAAAAAAAAAAAAAAAAAAAUAGAAUCGUUAAAUAAGAAAAUGUCUUAUAUUAAAUGUCUUCUUAUGGAAAGAAAUAAGUUGAGCAAAAUGAGUUCUAAACUAUUAAAGAUACACGAGGAAUAUGUAGAAACAAUUACACACCCUCUACAUAGCGUAAAAAUAACCUCGAACGAAUAUAUUAACACAUCAGUAGAUGAAGGGAAUGCGUCCAUUAAAUUAGAUCAUGCGCUUGUUGAGUGCAAAAUAGAUGAUAAGAACAAUGAUAAAAUUAAAAAUUUACAAAUAGUUUUAAAAAAAAUAAAAAAUGAAAAUAAGUUAUUAAAAAAAAAAUAUGAACUUAUAUACAAAAAAUAUAUGAGCGCAUUAAAAAGAAAAUCUCAUAAAAAUAAAGAGCUCAAAUUUAUUCAAGUAGAAAAAAAAGAAGAAAUCGAACAAUCAAACAAUGAUGAUGUUAUUCAUUCUUUUUAUUUGAAAAAUAAUGCAAAUAAUUAUAAACAAAAAUGUGAAAACGAUAUGAAUAUAAGAAAUUAUAUGAAGGUAAAAGUUGUAAAUAAAAAACGUUUCAACAUGAAUAAAUUUGGCAAUUAUAAAGGUAAUAAAAAAAUAAAAAACUAUAUUAAUAAUGUCAUAUAUACACAUACACAUAAUAAAUAAUUAUGUAUGUCUUGUGCUUUUCCUUGUUUUUAAUAAAGUUUAUAAAUUAUUUGAGUUUUUUUUUUUU